AUUGAACGCUGGCGGCAGGCCUAACACAUGCAAGUCGAGCGGAUGAAGGGAGCUUGCUCCUGGAUUCAGCGGCGGACGGGUGAGUAAUGCCUAGGAAUCUGCCUGGCAGUGGGGGAUAACGUCCGGAAACGGGCGCUAAUACCGCAUACGAACAGAGGGAGAAAGUGGGGGAUCUUCGGACCUCACGCUAUCAGAUGAGCCUAGGUCGGAUUAGCUUGAGGGUGGGGUAAAGGCACCGCCAGGCAAAGAUCCGUAAGUGGUGUGAGCGGAGGAGCAGUCACACUGGAACUGUGACACGGUCCGGACUCCUCCGGUAGGCAGCAGUGCGGAAUAGUGUACUAGGGGCGAAGCCCGAAUCCAGCCCUGCCACGUGGGGUGAGAAGUGCUUGGCAUUUUAGUGCUCAUUAAGUUGUAAGAAGGGAUAGUAAGUGAUACCCGUGCUUUUUUGACGUUACCUUCAGAAUAAGCACCGGCUAACUUCGUG
rnacentral:rRNA from 1 species